UAACAUUUAUCCUUAUUAUACGUUUUACUCAAUUUAUAUGUGUGAGAAGCAGGCAGAGCCUCCGGGCUAUGAGACAGAAAGUUAUAACCUACGGGUUAUAUGAGAAAGAAAGUUAUAGCCUACGGGCUAUAUGAGACAGAAAGUUAUAACCUACGGGUUAUAUGAGAAAGAAAGUUAUAGCCUACGGGCUAUAUGAGACAGAAAGUUAUAGCCUACGGGUUAUAUGAGAAAGAAAGUUAUAGUCUACGGGCUAUAUGAGACAGAAAGUUAUAUAGCCUUCGAGCUAAGAGACAGAAAGUUAUUGCUUUCGGGCAAUAUGAAAGAGCAGACAGUUUUUAUUGCACUUAUAUUUGUUGUGAUUCUUAUAAUAUGGAUAAAUGCACCCCACUGAGUUUAUUGUACUCACCCCAAAACAAUAUCUUUUCAGGAGAUGACUCGGGCGAUGAGAGGCGGGGCGAGUGAUGGUCAAGAUAAAGAAGAAAUAAUGUUUUAUUUUCAAUUGGAAUAAAGACUCAGUUUAUGAUGUUUAUUUACUUUUCUCAGUUGGAUUUG
rnacentral:lncRNA from 1 species